UUAAAACUCAAAUGAAUUGACGGGGGCCCGCACAAGCGGUGGAGCAUGUGGUUUAAUUCGAUGCAACGCGAAGAACCUUACCUACUCUUGACAUCCAGAGAAUCCAGCGGAGACGCAGGAGUGCCUUCGGGAGCUCUGAGACAGGUGCUGCAUGGCUGUCGUCAGCUCGUGUUGUGAAAUGUUGGGUUAAGUCCCGCAACGAGCGCAACCCUUAUCCUUGUUUGCCAGCGAGUAAUGUCGGGAACUCCAGGGAGACUGCCGGUGAUAAACCGGAGGAAGGUGGGGACGACGUCAAGUCAUCAUGGCCCUUACGAGUAGGGCUACACACGUGCUACAAUGGCGCAUACAGAGGGCAGCCAACUUGCGAAAGUGAGCGAAUCCCAAAAAGUGCGUCGUAGUCCGGAUUGGAGUCUGCAACUCGACUCCAUGAAGUCGGAAUCGCUAGUAAUCG
rnacentral:rRNA from 1 species